CGGGUAAUGUUCGGGUAGUGUUCAUGUAGAGUCCAGGUAGACUCCGGGUAGAGUUUGGUAAUGUUCAGGUAGAGUUCGGGUAAUGUUCGGGUAGUGUUCAGGUAGAGUCCAGUAGACUCCGGGUAGACUCCGGGGUAGAGUUCGGGUAAUGUUCAGGUAGAGUCCAGGUAGUGUUCAGGUAGACUCCAGGUAGAGUUCGGGUAAUGUUCGGGUAGUGUUCAGGUAGAGUCCAGGUAGUGUUCAGGUAGCGUCCAGGUAGAGUCCAGGUAGUGUUCAGGUAGAGUCCAGGUAGUGUUCAGGUAGACUCCAGGUAGAGUUCGGGUAAUGUUUCGGGUAGUGUUCAGGUAGAGUUCGGGUAAUGUUCGGGUAGUGUUCAGGUAGAGUCCAGGUUAGAGUCCAGGUAGUGUUCAGGUAAGUCCAGGUAGAGUUCCAGGUAGAGUUCCAGGUAGUGUUCAGGUAGACUCCAGGAUAGAGUUCGGGUAAUGUUCGGGUAGUGUUCAGGUAGAGUUUCGGGUAAUGUUCGGGUAGUGUUCAGGUAGACUCCAGGUAGAGUUCGGGUAGAGUCCAGGUAGAGUUCCGGGUAGAGUCCAGUGACUGAGAAGUCUCAUUCUCCAGCAGGAGAACUCAUAGAAACAUAAUCACACUUUAAUUAUCGGUAAUAAUGUUGUCCAUGUCACU